rnacentral:rRNA from 1 species
UACGAAGGGGGCUAGCGUUGCUCGGAAUCACUGGGCGUAAAGCGCACGUAGGCGGCUUCUUAAGUCAGGGGUGAAAUCCUGGAGCUCAACUCCAGAACUGCCUCUGAUACUGAGGAGCUCGAGUCCGGGAGAGGUGAGUGGAACUCCGAGUGUAGAGGUGAAAUUCGUAGAUAUUCGGAAGAACACCAGUGGCGAAGGCGGCUCACUGGCCCGGUACUGACGCUGAGGAGCGAAAGCGUGGGGAGCAAACAGG